GAUGAACGCUAGCUACAGGCUUAACACAUGCAAGUCGAGGGGAAACGACAUCGAAAGCUUGCUUUUGAUGGGCGUCGACCGGCGCACGGGUGAGUAACGCGUAUCCAACCUGCCCACCACUUGGGGAUAACCUUGCGAAAGUAAGACUAAUACCCAAUGACGUCUCUAGAAGACAUCUGAAAGAGAUUAAAGAUUUAUCGGUGAUGGAUGGGGAUGCGUCUGAUUAGCUUGUUGGCGGGGUAACGGCCCACCAAGGCGACGAUCAGUAGGGGUUCUGAGAGGAAGGUCCCCCACAUUGGAACUGAGACACGGUCCAAACGCCUACGGGAGGCAGCAGUGAGGAAUAUUGGUCAAUGGACGAGAGUCUGAACCAGCCAAGUAGCGUGCAGGAUGACGGCCCUAUGGGUUGUAAACUGCUUUUAGAAGGGAAUAAAGUGAGUCUCGUGAGACUUUUUGCAUGUACCUUAUGAAUAAGGACCGGCUAAUUCCGUG
rnacentral:rRNA from 1 species